AAAUCAGGGGUAACUAGGAUCAAGUGUAUUAUCUGUUCUUAUCAGUUUAAUAUCUGGUAUGUCCUUUAUUGGAGGAUGGUAUAUUAAAUUGAUUUUUGAAACAGGGUGAUGGAAUAGGAGCUUGCUCUGUCCACUCCAUGCAUCGACCUGGUAUUGCAGUGCCUCCAGAAAUGGAAAAAAACCU
rnacentral:snRNA from 1 species